CAGCUGAAUUAGACUCCUCCUUUUCCAUGACUCUCCUCUCCCAUAAUUCUCUUCUGUGUCUCUCGUGCUUGUAGAAAAUGAUGUUUGGAGUUUUGGUGGAUGGAAAGCUCAGCGUAAUUCAUCACUAUGCUUUGGCUUCCAGAAGGCCAAGCCUAGUUUGUGGUGCAUUAAUCAAGGUGCAGUCCUACUGUCAAAAGGAAUGCUUAUCACUCUACAGUCAGGGGAGGUGCAGCUGCACAUCCCAUGUCAUGUGAAUUUUUGGGUGGAUAGAGAAAGAUGACGAUGACCUAGAAGGCAUGGCUUAAAUUGACACAGAGAAGACUUUUUGUCAAUGCAAACUGAGAGGCUGUCAGCUAAAUGGGCAGAUCAUUUCCACCAGUGCAGAACUGUGCUUUUCAUCAUUUGAGGAGUGCCAUACAUGUGAUACUCUCUGAGGGAACAGCAGUAUUGGACUUCCUGAAUGGACAGGACCUGUAUUUCUGUCCUGAGGACUUCAGUCACGCAAAAGCCUUUGACAUUCACUUUUCAUGUGAAUACUGUAGUACAAUGAAUCUACUCUGUCAUGCAUCUCAUAAGGAUGCAGGAAUCGUCCUUUCAGAAAGGAAAAAUACAAUAGCCAUUGAUGUAUUCCAAUGUGAACUUUCUAGCUGCCACCCUACUGUGCAGUAAAAUUGGUGUAGUUUCAAACCAAGAGCCAAAGCCAAGAACAGUAACACAGGGUCUUAAUGAACUAACAAAAAGCACUGGAAAGGAAAUAAAUACUACAAUACUCCAUCAGAAACAUUGUGCAGAAAAAUCUCCCCCAGUGCAUGCAGUUGCACUAUAUCAGUGAACCAGCCCUGAACACACACAGUCCACUGCUAAAAGACAAAAGCACACGUUCCAGAGACCAAGUCCACCCAAGUAAUGAGAGCCUCAACGACAUGCGCUUGGUUGCUAACAGCAUUGCACUCUGCCUCUGGUGUCCUGUUUUGUGCCAAAGACAUUGGAGGCACAGUGGAGGAGCAGGCAGAGGAUGAGGAAGCACAGCGUUUCUUGGAUGAACCAGAUUCUCCAAAGACCUUUCUAGAAGCCUCCUCCUGAUGGGCUGGCAGAGGCAGAUCUCCCGAUAUCUCAGCCCAACACGUACCAUCCACAUCAUCUCUUGCUGUCUGAGAAAACUAAAGGCAAUAAAUUGCCACAAACCAGAUUAUAAUGCAGGCACCCUGGUAUCUGCAAGCUAACCUCUUCACAAAGACUCUAUUCUUGUUCAAAAGGUUCCUCGUUUUGUUAAGUAGGAACAUUUGGUAGAUUGCUGGAAUUGUUUAUCUUUAAUGAGAGCAAGUUUCAAGUAGUAGUAGUAACAGCAGCAUAAUUAGCAUUAUAUAACACACUGCUGUAACUUGAUCAAAGGGGUUUCCU
ensembl:lncRNA